rnacentral:rRNA from 1 species
CCUACGGGAGGCAGCAGUGAGGAAUAUUGGACAAUCAGCGAAAGCUGGAUCCAGCAACGCCGCGUGGACGAUGAAGGCCUUCGGGUUGUAAAGUCCUUUUCAGAGGGAAGAGGAAGGACGGUACCUCUGGAAUAAGUCUCGGCUAACUACGUGCCAGCAGCCGCGGUAACACGUAGGAGGCAAGCGUUAUCCGGAUUUAUUGGGCGUAAAGCGCACGCAGGCGGCUAGGUAAGUCGGGUGUGAAAGCCCCGGACUUAAUCCGGGGAGGUCAUUCGAUACUGCUUGGCUUGAGAGCGGGAGAGGGAAGUGGAAUUCUCGGUGUAGUGGUGAUAUGCGUAGAUAUCGAGAGGAACACCAGUGGCGAAGGCGGCUUCCUGGCCCGUUUCUGACGCUAAGGUGCGAAAGCGUGGGGAGCAAACGGACUUAGAUACUCCGGUAGUCCACGCCGUAAACGAUGGGUACUAGGUGUGGGGGAUGUAAAAUUCUCCGUGCCACAGCUAACGCAAUAAGUACCCCGCCUGGGGACUACGGCCGCAAGGUUAAAACUCAAAUGAAUUGACGG